AACCAGUGAUGGUGUGAAGUAAGUCUGGGGGAGGCGAUUGUGUGAAACUAAUCUCCCUUCUGUUUCUUUUGGCUUUUAUGUUUGAGUCAGUCCUUGUGUUUCAUCGAGUCAGUCCAAACUCUUGUGGGAAUUAGGACCCUAUUCUGUGAUGAUCUUUUAACCACCUCGUGCUUUAACUUUCUUAUUUAGUGACCUUAGCAGUGACGAAAGACUCACACUUGGACCUGGAUGAAUCCUGACUUAUCUCACUUGACUCUCCUGAAGUUUUCAGUCGAUCAGGUUACAGUGGGUAGACUUAACUCAAUCUAACUUGAACCAAAUUUUGACUGCAAUUUCCUCUUGUUAUGGGCAUUAGAUCAGGGAAACGAGAUCCACACUCAGGACUUCUUACUCUUUUUACCAAUCUUGCUGAUCCUGAGUGG
rnacentral:lncRNA from 1 species